UACGUAGGGCGCAAGCGUUAUCCGGAAUUAUUGGGCGUAAAGAGCUCGUAGGCGGUUUGUCGCGUCUGCCGUGAAAGUCCGGGGCUCAACUCCGGAUCUGCGGUGGGUACGGGCAGACUGGAGUACUGCAGGGGAGACUGGAAUUCCUGGUGUAGCGGUGAAAUGCGCAGAUAUCAGGAGGAACACCGAUGGCGAAGGCAGGUCUCUGGGCCACUACUGACGCUGAGAAGCGAAAGCAUGGGGGAGC
rnacentral:rRNA from 1 species